UUCGUAGGCGGUGUGGCAAGUUGGGAGUGAAAUCUCUGGGCUCAACCCAGAGGCUGCUUCCAAAACUGCUGUGCUUGAGUGUGGGAGAGGCGCGUGGAAUUGCAGGUGUAGCGGUGAAAUGCGUAGAUAUCUGCAGGAACACCCGUGGCGAAAGCGGCGCGCUGGACCACAACUGACGCUGAGGAACGAAAGCUAGGGGAGCAAACAGGAUUAGAUACCCUGGUAGUCCUAGCCCUAAACGAUCAGGACUUGGGGUGCCACCCGUUCGGGUGUCGUCCCGGAGCUAACGCGUUAAGUCCUGCACCUGGGGAGUACGGUCGCAAGACUGAA
rnacentral:rRNA from 1 species